GUUAGAGGCUAUAAUACUCUAAAAGCAUCAGAUCUCAACCAAUCUUGGAAGCUAAGCAGAGUUAACUCUGCUCAGUAUUUGAAACAGAACAUGGCCAAUGAAUGCCAGAUGCUGUGGCU
rnacentral:rRNA from 11 species